rnacentral:SRP_RNA from 1 species
GGCCGGGCCCUGCGCAAUGCAAGCCGGUGAACCUCGUCAGAUCCGGAAGGAAGCAGCGAUAAGCCGGAAUCUGUAUGUGCCGCAGGCCCACCCGGCCCUG